CUGUCCUCUCCCGAAAGACAGAUGACGGCGGAAGUUGUUCAAACACACAUCUGCUGUUUGCUGUUGCUAAUGAACUCAACACGACACCAGUUCAAACCCUACACGCACACACACACACUAACACACACACACACACCAGUUCAAACCCACACUAACACUGUCUGUCAUUUCUCUCCUUCUCUCUUUCUUUCUUUCUUUCUCUCUAUCCUGUCACCACAGGGAAAUUCGGAGGAGUUUUAUUCUUUCACUCGUCUGGUUGGAGACAGCCAAAAGCGAGACGGCCCUUCUCAAACUGGUCUCAGGAGAGAAAAUGUUCCAUUGACUUUCACACCUUCAACCUCAAGGUAGGUGCUCCUGGUUUUUUAAAGUUUGUGUGUUUGUGUGUUCGUGUGUGUGUGUGUGUUUGUGUGUGUGUGUGCUGUUUGGUUUUUGCAUUGGUCCAGCAUUUAGGGGAGCACUCAAUCCCAUC
rnacentral:lncRNA from 1 species